CCCUUAGAUGUUCUGGGCCGCACGCGCGCUACACUGAUGCAUUCAACAAGUUCUACCUUGGCCGAGAGGUCUGGGAAAUCUUUCAAAUAUGUAUCGUGAUAGGGAUAGAUUAUUGCAAUUAUUAAUCUUGAACGAGGAAUUCCUAGUAAAUGCAGAUCAUCAUUCUGCGUUGAUUACGUCCCUGCCCUUUGUACACACCGCCCGUCGCACCUACCGAUUGAAUGAUCCGGUGAAGCCUCGGGAUUGUGCCCAGAGAACUUUAUUGUGAUUUGGGUGUGAGAACUUGUCUAAACCUUAUCAUUUAGAGGAAGGUGAAGUCGUAACA
rnacentral:rRNA from 1 species